GACCUCAAAUCAGGUAGGGCUACCCGCUGAACUUAAGCAUAUCAAUAAGCGGAGGAAAAGAAACUAACAAGGAUUCCCCUAGUAACGGCGAGCGAACCGGGAAGAGCUCAAAUUUGAAAUCUGGCGUCCUCUGGGCGUCCGAGUUGUAAUCUAUAGAAGCGUUUUCCGCGCCGGACCGUGUCCAAGUCCCUUGGAACAGGGUAUCAAAGAGGGUGACAAUCCCGUACUUGACACGCCAACCGGUGCUAUGUGAUACGCUCUCUACGAGUCGAGUUGUUUGGGAAUGCAGCUUAGCGAACAAGUACCGUGAGGGAAAGAUGAAAAGCACUUUGGAAAGAGAGUUAAACAGUAUGUGAAAUUGUUGAAAGGGAAACGAUUGAAGUCAGUCGUGUCGUGAGGAUUCAGCCGGCCAUGCCGGUGCACUUCCCCUCGAUGGGUCAACAUCAGUUUUGUCCGGCGGAUAAGGGAGAUGGGAAAGUAGCACCCCCGGGUGUGUUAUAGCCCUUCGUCGCAUACGCCGGACGGAGACUGAGGCAUGCAGCUCGCCCUCUUUUUGGGCCGGGGUUCGCCCACGACCGAGCUUAGGAUGUUGACAGAAUGGCUUUAAACGACCCGUCUUGAAACACGGACCAAGGAGUCUAACAUACCUGCGAGUGUUUGGGUGUCAAACUCGGACGCGGAAUGAAAGUAAACGAAGGAGGGAUCCGCAAGGAGCACCUUUGACCGAUCUGGAUCUUCUGUGAUGGAUUUGAGUAAGAGCAUGUAUGCUGGGACCCGAAAGAUGGUGAACUAUGCCUGAAUAGGGCGAAGCCAGGGGAAACUCUGGUGGAGGCUCGUAGCGAUUCUGACGUGCAAAUCGAUCGUCAAAUUUGGGUAUAGGGGCUAAAGACUAAUCGAACCAUCUAGUAGUUGGUUCUUGCCGAAUUUCC
rnacentral:rRNA from 1 species